rnacentral:lncRNA from 1 species
AAUGAUCCUUAUACUGGAUUCAUUUAUCUUGAAAUGGUAAAUGCAGUUGCCAACCUCAAUCUAUAGUACACAUUAAGCUAUUUAAUUUUUUCUUGUGGAGUUCCCAUCAAGACUCAGCGGUUAACGAACCCGACCAGCAUCCAUUAGCAUGUGGGUUUGAUCCCUGGCCUCGCUCAGUGGCUUAAGGAUCUGGCGUUGCUGUGAGCUGUGGUAUAGACUGCAGACACAGAUCAGAUCCUGUAGUGUAGGCCAGCAGCUACAGCUCCAAUUGGACCCCUAGUUUGGGAACCUCCAUGUGUCACAGGUGCAGCCCUAAAAGCCAAAAAGCCAAAAGAAAAAAAUUUUUUUUCUUGUAAUGUCAUGACUCUGCUUCUGGGAACACUUUCAGGAUCACUAGUGGCCCUUUGUAUGCUGUUAUUCAAGGUUUAUGGUAUUGCACUAAACAUAAAAAAUACUUGAAAACCACAAGAGAUCACUUUUUAUGCAAUAUGCAAUUUACUGGAGAGAUGACUCCAGUAUCAAGUGUUGGAUACUUCCAACACUUGUGCUCACUGCUUACAGCAACAGGAGGUAACUACAAAAUUAUUACUACAGUAUCCUAUGUGCUACAGUUAAUUUUAUGCAGUUAUGCUUUACUCUUGCAUCUUUACAUUUGUUUACCUUUCCCUCAACUGGGAAUGGUGCCAUAGAUGGGGUUUAAGUGUUUGUGUAGGUUUGGAUAAAUUUUAACUGCUUAUAAUAGACUUGUAGGAGUUCCCGACAUGGCACAGUAGGUUAAAGAACCUGACUGCAGUGGCUUGGAUCACUUUGGAGGUGCGGGUUUGAUCCCUGGCCAUGGAGGUCUACAAGUAUUUUAAGCAUUCAUGAUACACUUAACUUCUUUUUUAAAAAAAUAUUUCUAGGCUAUAUGGCUUGUCUGCAAGCUAUUUUCAAAUUAUCACAAAUCUCCAUAAAAAUUUCCAACAUAUUUAAGGGGAAAAAAAGGGUAUAAAUGGCCCCUGUGGAAUUCCCCCUGUGAGUCGGCAGUAUCAAACCCGACUAGUACCCAUGAGGAUGCAGGUUCAAACCCUGGCCUUGCUCAGUGGGUUAAGGAUCAGGUGAUGCCAUGAGCUGUGGUAUAGGUGGCAGACUUGGCUCAGAUCCCAUGUUGCUGUGGCUGUGGCAUAGGCCAGCAGCUGCAGCUUCGAUUGGACCCCUUGCCUGGGAACCUCCACAUGUUGCAGGUACAGUCCUAAAAAGCAAAAAAAUUAAAAAAAAUUUAAAAAUAAAUAAAUGGCCCUUCAUUUCAAACCCAAGUUGUUCAAGGUUCAACUGCACACACACACACACACACACACACACACACACACACACACACACACACACACUCGCGCGCGCAUAACACAUAAAGGCAUGGAACAAAUCUCUUCUUACUUAAAGCAGAGAAUCAAAAUCUAAUAUCAUAUAUUCCUUAAAUAGUUGAGUUAUUCACUUUCAAUGACAUUGUUUCAUAGCACAUAAGAUUAAGAUAUUAGCUAACAUAAUCACUCUUUCUGACAUGUAAUAGCUAAUGAAGACACAUUAUCAAAACAGCAAUAUCAAGUAUUUUAAACUGUCCUUGAAAUAGUAGGCACCAAGAGUUCUUCAUAGGCUCCGCAUUGUUCUUAGAACAGAGCUACUGCCUCUUCUCUUUGCACCUCCUCCCCCUGAUCAAAGCUCUUCCAAAGAAUUGUCUGUACUUAAUUUCCACUAAACUCUCCUUUCUCUCUUGAGCACACUCCAACCUGGUCUUUUUCCCAUUAUGUCAUCAAAGCUGCACUUAAUCAGGAUUACCAAUGACCUCCAUGCAGUCAAAUCUCAAGGAUACAUCUCAGCUUUUAUCUCAUUCCACCUAUGAGUAGCAACUGACUUAUUGAAUGGUUUCUUCUUCCUAAAAGUUUUUUCACUAGAUCUCCAAGACACCCCAUCUGUGGUUCUCCUCCUACCUCAGUGGCCAUUCUUUCUCUCCAUUUUCUAUUGAGUUAAGAUAUAGGAAGUCUAUUAUCUUCCUAAACUCUUAAAAUCAGAGUGUCCAGGUCUCAUUGCAUAGACCCCUUCUCUUCCUUACCUACAUACAGAUCUCAUUGGAGUUCUUAUCCAUUUCAUGAAUUUAAAUAUCAUUUACAUGCUACUGUCUUCCAAAUUUGGAUAUCUAGGCCACUCCUAUGCAAACUAUAGACAUGUAUACAUACCCAACAGGCUAUCUGACAUUUCCAUUUGGAUGUCUACAGGCAGCUCAACAAGUCCAAAACUAAACUGCUAAUCUUCUGCCCCGUACUGCUCUUCCUUCUUCAUUUCAUAGAAGUAGUAAUACCAUUCUUGCUCAGGCCCAAACCUUGAUUCCUUUCUUUCUCUCACAUCCCAAAUCCAACGUAUUGGAACAUUCAAUCAGUCCAAUCAGUUUUACCUACAAAGCUUAUUCACACUACCAGACACACUGUUCUCAUUACCUCCACCUCUGCCACCCUAGUUCAAACCUCCAUCAUCUCAUGCUCCCUUUACUCAGUCAAUUUUUUACCUUGUGAAGAAACUCUUUUAAAAUUUAAGUUAGGGAGUUCCUGUCAUGGCUCAGUGUAAACAAAUCUGACUGGAACCCAUGAGGACACAGGUUCAGUCCCUGGCCUUGCUCAGUGGGUUAGGGAUCCGGCGCUGCUGUGAGCUGUGGUGUAGGUCGCAGAUGUGGCUCCAAUCUGGCAUUGCUGUGACUGUGGCAUUGUCCAGCAGCUACAGCUCCAAUUCAAUACCUAGCCUGAGAACCUCCAUAUGCCGCAGAUGUGGCCCUAAAAAGAUAAGAUAAAAUAAAAUAAAAUAAAAGUUAGAUUUUUACUUUUUCUGCUUAAAACUCUCCUAUGGCCUAAUGCCAUUCAGUUACACUAACAUCUUGCUAUUUAUAGUAGACUGCCUAUAUGCUCUGAUUCUUUUUUCAUCUCCUGUUCUCAGAGUUUUAAAUUCAGUAGGUUUGGGGUAAGGACUGAGAAUCUCUAUUUCUGACAAAUUCCCAGGUGAUGCUGAUGCUGCUGGUCCAUGAAUCACAUUUGGAAAAUCACUGUUAGAAUAUUUUUUAUUUCCCUCCUCAUUUCACUUGCCUAACUUCUUACUUUAUCUCUGUUCCUUCUCUCACCCCAGAACAUGGUGUUCCAUGGCACACUGUACUUAACCUCUCACAUCACUCAUCACAUAAUAUUGUGAUAUUCUAUUUAUGUGUGCGUCUCUCCCAUCAGACUAUAUCCUCAGCACUUAGCACAGUUAGUUAGUGCACACUGUAUAUGAGAGAUAAAUAGAUUCCUUAAUUUUGUACUUUAAAAGACUCAACUGAAAAAGUAUCUUUACAGUCACAGGAUAUUUAGAAGGAGGUGCUUUUAUGUGCUAGAAAUAAAAGAUGAAAACACCAAGGAUCCCUUCCCAGAGAGGCUUAAAAAAAUAAG